CCCAGGCAGCCUGAGGAUCUCCUGCAGUGCUGGGAGCUGUUCUGUCCUGCCUUUCUUUGCAGAUGAACCUGUUGGUGAAGGUGAUCUGGCUUCCCAACCCACAUCCAGGACUGAGAUUCAGGCAGCUGGUGAGGGUGUGUCUGCAGGGAGGAUUUCUCUGGCUUCCUGGCUGGUUACUGCACACAAGCCCAGCUCCCAUCGCAGGGGUGAGUAGUGGGUCCCUGCUGACCCCACAGGCUGAGCACUGCUUUUGGGGGAUUCAGUCCUGAGAGAUGCAACUACUUUCCUUUAAGUUACUCCAAUAGAAAAGAUCCGAGACACAACAGACAAGAAAUCAAUGAAACAAUCUAAAGCCAUGUGGAAAAUGCUGAAGGAAACGCUGCAGAGAAAACAAGGUGGGCGCAUUUCCCUCAGCCUUCUCCUGAGGCUCAGCAGCCGGGGGCUUUCUCUGCACAUCUGGACACGCCGUGCCCGGCACAGCGGGAAGGGA
rnacentral:lncRNA from 12 species